rnacentral:lncRNA from 1 species
CAGGCGCUGCUGCCCCAACACAGGCGGGCACUCUCUGCGGGUCCCGCGGCUCCCGCGGCUUCCGGCCCACUCAGCGCCUCCAGAGGCCUCAGGUGAGGGUCACCCCCCGCAGCUUGGGGUCACUCCCCUGAGCCCCCGGAUCUUCCCAUGGGUCCUUUGGAGGCCUGGGUUUUGGAGUUUGUCCUUCGUUAAGUGCCGCCCGCCGGGCGCGGCUGCUCCAGGACCACAGAUUUCGCUGGGGAUGCUACUUGAUCUCUCUUCAGCCUCAGUUUCCUCACCUGGACAGUGGAGCUGAACCCACCCCCCACUAUCUGACCCUGCUCUCUGGGCUGUCUUUUGGGAACCCGCCCUGCUGAGGCCUGCUCCCCACCCUCCAUGGCUGUCAGCCCCCCAGGAGAAGAAUGUCUGCCAUAUGGAGGCUGCUGGCAGCAAAGGGAGAUGAACAAGCCAAGGUUGCCCGGCCUGCAUGCCGGCCCAGGUAGACACUUGAAAGGACCUUCUCUGUUUGUGGGUUUUUGCCCUGGUGCCUGGAGCCCCUUCCCUAUAGUCCCUUGACCCAGCCCAGCUCUAUGGGCUGGA